rnacentral:rRNA from 4 species
GGAGGAAGGUGGGGAUGACGUCAAGUCAUCAUGGCCCUUACGACCAGGGCUACACACGUGCUACAAUGGCGCAUACAAAGAGAAGCGACCUCGCGAGAGCAAGCGGACCUCAUAAAGUGCGUCGUAGUCCGGAUUGGAGUCUGCAACUCGACUCCAUGAAGUCGGAAUCGCUAGUAAUCGUGGAUCAGAAUGCCACGGUGAAUACGUUCCCGGGCCUUGUACACACCGCCCGUCACACCAUGGGAGUGGGUUGCAAAAGAAGUAGGUAGCUUAACCUUCGGGAGGGCGCUUACCACUUUGUGAUUCAUGACUGGGGUGAAGUCGUAACAAGGUAACCGUAGGGGAACCUGCGGUUGGA